rnacentral:rRNA from 1 species
GGGAUCCCAAGUGCUUGCUCUUAGGAGUAAGCUGUUUUCCUGUUUAAAUCGCAGGAAGAGGAAGGGCUGGGUAAGACGGGUGCCAGCCGCCGCGGUAAUACCUGCAGCUCAAGUGAUGACCGCUAUUAUUGGGCCUAAAACGUCCGUAGCCGGCUGAGUAAAUGCCUGGGUAAAUCGUGUCGCUUAACGAUACGAAUUCCGGGUAGACUGCUUAGCUUGAGACCGGGAGAAGCUAGAGGUACUCCUGGGGUAGAGGUGAAAUUCUGUAAUCCUGGGGGGACCACCAGUGGCGAAAGCGUCUAGCUAGAACGGGUCUGACGGUGAGGGACGAAACCCUGGGGCGCGAACCGGAUUAGAUACCCGGGUAGUCCAGGGCGCAAACGCUGCUUGCUUGAUGUUAGUUGGGCUCCGAGCUCGACUAGUGUCGGAGAGAAGUUGUUAAGCAAGCUGCCUGGGAAGUACGAUCGCAAGAUUGAAACUUAAAGGAAUUGGCGGGGGAGCACAGCAACGGGAGGAGCGUGCGGUUUAAUUGGAUUCAACGCCGGAAAACUCACCGGAGGCGACGGUUACAUGAAGGCCAGGCUGAUGACCUUGCCUGAUUUUCCGAGAGGUGGUGCAUGGCCGCCGUCAGUUCGUACCGUAAGGCGUUCUGUUAGGUCAGAUAACGAACGAGACCCUCAUCCUUAAUUGCUACUAAUGACUUCGGUUGUUAGGCACAUUAAGGAGACCGCUGACGAUAAGUCAGAGGAAGGCGAGGGCAACGGUAGGUCAGUAUGCCCUGAAUCCUCCGGGCUACACGCGCGCUACAAAGGCCAGGACAAUGGGUUUCGACACCGAAAGGUGGAGGUAAUCCCGAAACCUGGUCAUAGUUCGGAUUGAGGGCUGAAACUCGCC